rnacentral:lncRNA from 1 species
UACCGGGGAAUAGCAAUAUGGCGGUGCGGUGGCUUCACUUCUAUAACAUCAUGAGCAAUUCAGUUCUCUAUUAUAGAUCAGUGGUGUAAACUUAUAAUAAUGGAUUACUAAGGUAACAUGGACUUAACAGACACGCACGCAGCGGCCAUUAAGGCAUCAAGACAUGAUGCAUGCCUAAUAUAUCACUUUACCUCAAACAUCUUAUCGUAGUCCUUGAAAGUCAAACUCGAAAUUGAAAAUACAAUUAGGCCACGUUCACACAGCAGCACGGUUGUCAGUCCUGUAUUUGAGUCCUUAAUACAGUUAUGUUCCCACACAGUUCAGUUAUUUACGGGUGUGACAACCACAUUCUGUAACCGAACUCACACCUGUACAUGUUCGGGACUCACAACCGCAUUCUGUAACCGAACUCGCACCUGUACAUGUUCGGGACUCACAACCGCAUUCUGUAACCGAACUCGCACCUGUACAUGUUCGGGACUCACAACCGCAUUCUGUAACCGAACUCGCACCUGUACAUGUUCGGGACUCACAACCGCAUUCUGUAACCGAACUCGCACCUGUACAUGUUCGGGACUCACAACCGCAUUCUGUAACCGAACUCGCACCUGUACAUGUUCGGGACUCACAACCGCAUUCUGUAACCGAACUCGCACCUGUACAUGUUCGGGACUCACAACCGCAUUCUGUAACCGAACUCGCACCUGUAAAUGUUCGGGACUUACAACCGCAUUCUGUAAGCGAACUCGCACCUGUAAAUAUCCGGGACUCACAACCGCAUUCUGUAACCGAACCCGCACCUGUAAAUGUUCGGGACUCACAACCGCAUUCUGUAACCGAACUCGCACCUGUAAAUGUUCGGGACUCACAACCGCAUUCUGUAACCGAACCCGCACCUGUACAUGUUCGGGACUCACAACCGCAUUCUGUAACCGAACUCGCACCUGUACAUGUUCGGGACUCACAACCGCAUUCUCGGAACACUCGCGCUGUGUGAACUGAACCGGACUGGACAAUAUUGUCUGUCACAUACAGUGCGAGAGAGCUGCUCUGCUGCACCAAUGCGCGUCUACCGUGUGUUAUGUGCUUUUAUGUGUGUUUUCGGUAACUUAAAUGACGGAGAAAUGAGAUGUGUGUC